rnacentral:rRNA from 1 species
GGCUCAGAUUGAACGCUGGCGGCAGGCCUAACACAUGCAAGUCGAGCGGUAGCACAGAGAGCUUGCUCUCGGGUGACGAGCGGCGGACGGGUGAGUAAUGUCUGGGAAACUGCCUGAUGGAGGGGGAUAACUACUGGAAACGGUAGCUAAUACCGCAUAAUGUCGCAAGACCAAAGUGGGGGACCUUCGGGCCUCAUGCCAUCAGAUGUGCCCAGAUGGGAUUAGCUAGUAGGUGGGGUAACGGCUCACCUAGGCGACGAUCCCUAGCUGGUCUGAGAGGAUGACCAGCCACACUGGAACUGAGACACGGUCCAGACUCCUACGGGAGGCAGCAGUGGGGAAUAUUGCACAAUGGGCGCAAGCCUGAUGCAGCCAUGCCGCGUGUGUGAAGAAGGCCUUCGGGUUGUAAAGCACUUUCAGCGGGGAGGAAGGCGGUAAGGUUAAUAACCUCGUCGAUUGACGUUACCCGCAGAAGAAGCACCGGCUAACUCCGUGCCAGCAGCCGCGGUAAUACGGAGGGUGCAAGCGUUAAUCGGAAUUACUGGGCGUAAAGCGCACGCAGGCGGUCUGUCAAGUCGGAUGUGAAAUCCCCGGGCUCAACCUGGGAACUGCAUUCGAAACUGGCAGGCUAGAGUCUUGUAGAGGGGGGUAGAAUUCCAGGUGUAGCGGUGAAAUGCGUAGAGAUCUGGAGGAAUACCGG